rnacentral:rRNA from 1 species
AACGAACGCUGGCGGCAGGCUUAACACAUGCAAGUCGAGCGAAUGGAUUAAGAGCUUGCUCUUAUGAAGUUAGCGGCGGACGGGUGAGUAACACGUGGGUAACCUGCCCAUAAGACUGGGAUAACUCCGGGAAACCGGGGCUAAUACCGGAUAACAUUUUGAACCGCAUGGUUCGAAAUUGAAAGGCGGCUUCGGCUGUCACUUAUGGAUGGACCCGCGUCGCAUUAGCUAGUUGGUGAGGUAACGGCUCACCAAGGCAACGAUGCGUAGCCGACCUGGGAGGGUGAUCGGCCACACUGGGACUGAGACACGGCCCAGACUCCUACGGAAGGCAGCAGUAGGGAAUCUUCCGCAAUGGACGAAAGUCUGACGGAGCAACGCCGCAUGAGCGAUGAAGGCUUUCGGGUCGUAAAACUCUGUUGUUAGGGAAGAACAAGUGCUAGUUGAAUAAGCUGGCACCUUGACGGUACCUAACCAGAAAGCCACGGCUAACUACGUGCCAGCAGCCGCCGUAA